CCUACGGGUGGCUGCAGUGGGGAAUAUUGCACAAUGGGCGCAAGCCUGAUGCAGCCAUGCCGCGUGUGUGAAGAAGGCCUUCGGGUUGUAAAGCACUUUCAGCGGGGAGGAAGGCGGUGAGGUUAAUAACCUCAUCGAUUGACGUUACCCGCAGAAGGAGCACCGGCUAACUCCGUGCCAGCAGCCGCGGUAAUACAGAGGGUGCAAGCGUUAAUCGGAAUUACUGGGCGUAAAGCGCACGCAGGCGGUCUGUCAAGUCGGAUGUGAAAUCCCCGGGCUCAACCUGGGAACUGCAUUCGAAACUGGCAGGCUAGAGUCUUGUAGAGGGGGGUAGAAUUCCAGGUGUAGCGGUGAAAUGCGUAGAGAUCUGGAGGAAUACCGGUGGCGAAGGCGGCCCCCUGGACAAAGACUGACGCUCAGGUGCGAAAGCGUGGGGAGCAAACAGGAUUAGAUACCCGUGUAGUC
rnacentral:rRNA from 1 species